rnacentral:rRNA from 1 species
GACGAACGCUGGCGGCGUGCUUAACACAUGCAAGUCGAACGGAAAGGCCUGCUUUCCCUUGUGGAUUGCGGGUACUCGAGUGGCGAACGGGUGAGUAACACGUGAGUGAUCUGCCCCCAACUUGGGUAUAAGCCUGGGAAACUGGGUCUAAUUCCCGAUAGGACUGCAGGGUGGUGCCUGUGGUGGAAAACGAUUUUCUAGUGGUUGGGGAUGAGCUCGCGGCCUAUCAGCUUGUUGGUGGGGUAAUGGCCUACCAAGGCGGCGACGGGUAGCCGGCCUGAGAGGGUGGACGGCCACAUUGGGACUGAGAUACGGCCCAGACUCCUACGGGAGGCAGCAGUGGGGAAUAUUGCACAAUGGGCGGAAGCCUGAUGCAGCGACGCCGCGUGGGGGAUGACGGCCUUCGGGUUGUAAACUCCUUUCGACUGCGAGGAAGCCACCUGGUUGGAAGGGUGGUGACGGUAGUGGUAGAAGAAGCACCGGCUAACUACGUGCCAGCAGCCGCGGUAAUACGUAGGGUGCGAGCGUUGUCCGGAUUUACUGGGCGUAAAGAGCUCGUAGGUGGCUUGUCGCGUCGUCUGUGAAAGUCUGGGGCUUAACUCCGGGUGUGCAGGCGAUACGGGCUGGCUUGAGUGCUGUAGGGGAGACUGGAAUUCCUGGUGUAGCGGUGGAAUGCGCAGAUAUCAGGAGGAACACCGAUGGCGAAUGCAGGUCUCUGGGCAGUCACUGACGCUGAGGAGCGAGAGCAUGGGUAGCGAACAGG